rnacentral:rRNA from 1 species
UACGUAGGGACCAAGCGUUGUUCGGAUUUACUGGGCGUAAAGGGCGCGUAGGCGGCAUGACAAGUCACUUGUGAAAUCUCCGGGCUUAACCCGGAACUGCCAAGUGAUACUGUCGCGCUAGAGUGCGGAAGGGGCAAUCGGAAUUCUCGGUGUAGCGGUGAAAUGCGUAGAUAUCGAGAGGAACACCUGCGGCGAAGGCGGGUUGCUGGGCUGACACUGACGCUGAUGCGCGAAAGCCAGGGGAGCGAACGGG